UACGGCCACGUCACGUUGAAACACCGGUUCCGAUACGAUCACCGAAGUUAAGCAACGUCGAGACUGGUGGGUACCUUGAUGGGUGAUCGCUUUGGAAUACCAGUUGCU